AACGCACAUUGCGCCCCCUGGUAUUCCGGGGGGCAUGCCUGUCCGAGCGUCAUUACAACCCUCAAGCCCAGCUUGGUGUUGGGCCCCGCCGCCCCGGCGGGCCCUAAAGUCAGUGGCGGUGCCGUCCGGCUCCGAGCGUAGUAAUUCUUCUCGCUCUGGAGGUCCGGUCGUGUGCUCGCCAGCAACCCCCAAUUUUUUUCAGGUUGACCUCGGAUCAGGUAGGGAUACCCGCUGAACUUAA
rnacentral:misc_RNA from 1 species